GAUUUCUGACAAACCGUUGCGGCCCUUUGCUCUUUUGGGCGAUGUGUGCCGUGUCGUGUUUGCCAUCCUUCCAGAAAGCUGCGUCUACCAUUUACUUGGCCGGACGUAUGCAAUCUGGAUCGAUUACUUUGAAAAAAUUAGAGUGUUUAAAGCAGGCAGACGCUGUGAAUACAUUAGCAUGGAAUAAUGAUUUAGGACUUCUGGUCCUAUUUUGUUGGUUUUCUGGACUGAAGUAAUGAUUGAUAGGGGCAAUUGGGGGUGCUAGUAUUCCGCGGCCAGAGGUGAAAUUCUUGGAUUCGCGGAAGACUAACUACUGCGAAAGCAUU
rnacentral:rRNA from 1 species